UAAUAUUAAUAUAACUUUAAUAUUAAUAUAACUAAUAAAUUAUGUUCCUUUGUGCAGCAUAUUUUAGUGUAACUUUGUUAUCUUAUGUGCUAAUUCCAUUGGUUCCAAGGAUUUUAGACGUCAUAAUUCCAUUGAAUAAGUCAAAACCAUUAGGAUAUGUGUAUCAGGCCGAGUACAGAGUGGACACAGAAAAAAAUAUUAUUAUCCAAUCUUAUUUCAUUCUUAUCUUGCGAGUACAAUUACGACAAUUCUAUUCACUGUCGACACUACAUAUAUAAUGUGUGUGUGUUACAUACCUGCAGCCUGUUUACAGCUAUUAGAUAAGUAAAGUUAACAACAUCGUGUAGUUCCUACAUUUUUUACAAACAUUUUUUAAUAAUUUUCUUUCUUUUGGAUGAAUAAACUAAGAAAAUAUAAAGUUUGUGCAUUAAUUUACAUGUUCCAUUUCAAACCAACAACUGGAAAAUAUAACUAGCAAAACAGACAUUACAUCAAGCGACAAAAAAGUCCACAAAGGGAUGCAUUAUUCAUAAAAAAACACAAUUCUAUCGGCAAUGACCAUAUUGCAUUGAUAAAAUGCUUAAAAAAACAUCAACUUGCAUUAGAAUCUGUAUUAUACACGUUCAGAUUCUAUGAUAUUAGAAUCCAUGUUCACUCAUGUGACAUUUAUUAUGCUAUCUAUGAAUGUGCUGAUUUUAAGUGUAAUAGGAAUACAAGUAAGGAUUUGAAAAGCAUAUCUGUUUCUACUAAAAAAUAUUUAUAUUGCAGUAAAAGUUUUAUAUUGCAGUAAUUUUGCAGCUUACCAAUAACAUGGGAAAUGUUGAAGAAACAGUAAGAUAUGUUUUUAUAAGUUGCGCUUCGUUUAUUCAUCUCAUAUGUAUGUGUAUUCCCGGACAAUUACUAAUAGAUAAAAGCACAGAAGUUUUCAUCAAAACGUAAGAAUUUUUAUUUUAUAUAGUUUUAUAUAGUUCUUUAACAUAUUUAAUCCUUGGAUAAAAAUAAGAGAAUUUUUUGAGAUCUUGCGUUACCUUAAUCAUAUAAAUAAUUUUAAUAUUCUUCCAAUAUCUUCAAGUAUAAUUUUUAAAAUUGUUUACUAAUUUUUAAAUAAUUUUUAACACGUUUUAAGAGUCUACAUAUCGACACACACACAUACACGCACACACACAUAACAUUUAAUAUAAUAAGACAUAUCUUAUAUAUUAGAUACGUUUCAGCUUGGUAUACAUUUCCUAUAAGAAUUAAAAAAUUAUUAGGAAUAUUCUUUAUAGAAAUUUCGCUCCGUGUACUCUUACGGCUGGAAGAACGUUUAUUCCCACAUAACACCAAGUCGACUGUUAGUCGACUGUCAGUCGGCAGAAGAAGUCUAAAGUCGACUUUAAAGUCAGACUGAAUGUCGACUUAUAGUCAACUAAAAGCCAACAAAUGACUCGACUAUAGUCGGCUUUCGGUCAGCCAUUGUAGUCGACUUUAAACCGACUAUAAGUCGACUUUUAGUCAACAUUAAGUCGACUUUUGGUCAACAUUAAGUCGACUUUUGGUCAACAUUAAGUCGACUUUUAGUCAACAUUAAGUUGACUUAUAGUCUAUUUUUCGCAUUAAUAAUUAUAAUAAUUGGGGUAAUAAUAAAAUACGUUACAAUAAGUAAGUUUUCACCGAGAGUUCAAAUCGUGUUAGAGUCGAGCUAAUUAGCCAAUAGUUAUGCUGGUUACAACAAAAAUACCUAAUUUCCGUUAUGAUUAGCAUAUAUAGCCGUUGGUUAAUUGGUCCAACUUUGACCCGAUUUGUACUCUCGAUGGAAACUUACUCAAUGUUGUAUAUUAACAUACAAUGUAAUACAAUAUUUAUUCUUUAUUUUUACAAAGAUUUAAUAAUAUAUUAUAUAAAAUAUAUAUUUUAGAAUAUAUGGAUUGAAAUAUAACAUUACUUUUUAAACAAUUUAUCACCCGUAUCCUGUCGCCAGAUCGUAAUGUAAAAUGUCACUUUUUUAAUAAUAUUGCUCGUAUCCUGUCACCAGAUCGUCUCAACCAUUCCUGCAUGCAUUUUUCUAUUUCACUCACGGUGCUUUUUCCUUGCAUCAA
rnacentral:lncRNA from 1 species